UAUUACCGCCCCCUUUGGCGCGUCCACUUUUUUCAUUGGGCCAUCGGCCACGCGCCGGGCCAGCCCAGACUGCGGUUUUCACAAGUUGGUUGGACCGUGAGCAUCGGGGCCAACUCUGAACCCAGAUGGCGAGGGCUAUAGAAGCUGGACGCACGUUGGGAGUUUCCUCCCACCUCCUCCGCUGCCGCCGCGCUGCCACCGCCCGGAGCCGACGUUCCGCUAGUCACGUACCGGUGGCGGCGGGGGCGUGCGCAGCCGCGGGGACGCGCCGCCGGCCCGCGUCGCUCCUGCGGGGGGCUGGAUGUGGUAUGGGGCAACUCUCCCCGAGACGACAGCGGGAGAAGGAGGCGCACGGAUGCGGCUGAGCUAUGGGUGUUUAUCCAAGAGCAUUCAAAAGUUAUGAACGAAGCGGAUGGCGUGGCGUGGGCAGAGGCGGCUUCGACAAACGGGUUUCUGCUCGAGAACCCCGUAGCUCCCCCGGAUAAAGUUCAGCCUCUUUGGAGAGUCGAACAGAGGGGAGGCUCAGGAUACCUCACGCUGCAGCCCAGUACAGUUGUGGAAUCCCCGCACUGAGCCAGGCACGGGCCCAGGGACGGAGGGACCCCUCCCAGGGCCCAGCCAAGUGAGCCACUGGCGGUACAGCCCCCUUGGCAAGGGUUGCCUUUUGGGUUUUUUGUUUUUUUUGAGACAGUCUUGCCAUGUCGUUCACGCUGGUCUUUUUUUUGUUUUG